AACGGAUGUAACGUUCGGGGAUAAUCAUAACACAGACAGUUUAGUGUAAUAUGCCAUAAUGAACUGCUUUGAAUGCAUCUAACCAGUUAAUGCAUACUGGAGCUGGUAGCCCAUGAAGGCACUGUGUGCCUAAACGUCAUAUCCUGUCUUAUCCUGUCUCGUUUCAGACGUCACAUUAGUCCGGUCAUAUCCUGUCUCGUUUCAGACGUCACAUCCUUCCGGUCAUAUCCUGUCUCGUUUCAGACGUCACAUUAGUCCGGUCAUAUCCUGUCUCGUUUCAGACGUCACAGUCAGGUCAUAUCCUGUCUCGUUUCAGACGUCACAUCCUUCCGGUCAUAUCCUGUCUCGUUUCAGACGUCACAGUCAGGUCAUAUCCUGUCUCGUUUCAGACGUCACCGUCAGGUCAUAUCCUGUCUCGUUUCAGAUGUCACAGUCAGGUCAUAUCCUGUCUCGUUUCAGACGUCACAUUCAGGUCAUAUCCUGUCUUUAUCCACCACUGGCUUUAUUUCUCUUCCUACUGAGUAACAGCGUGUGUGUGUGUGUGUGUGCGCGCGCGUGCGUGUGUGCGUGUGUGCGUGCGUAUGUGCGUGCGUGUGCGUGCGUAUGUGCGUGCGGGUGCGCGCGUAUGUGCGUGC
ensembl:lncRNA